rnacentral:lncRNA from 1 species
CAAGCCCCAAUAGUGAUCCCAAUUCCUUAUUUUACCUUACAACGUCAAUAGUUUUCCAACUUUCAAUUCGAAAUAUUUCUUGAUACAAUUUCCAAAAGUUGUUGAAAUCAAAUUGUUAGUGGAUUAAAUAGAAUUGGGGGGAAGGGAUUUCCGACAGACGAUCAUCUCGAAAGGUUAGUAAGUGUUUGUGUAAAAACGGGAUUUUUAUGUUGAUUGUUAGUUGUACUCAAUUUUAUUCUAAUCGAUUGUUGUGAAUAAUGUGAUUUAAUCCUCAGAAUUUAUUAUUAUUCCUUUUUCCCCAAAAAAAUGUUGUUUCUUGACGGUAUUCUUUCUUACCCAACAGCGAUAUUUCUUGACAAUGUCUCUCUUGAAUUUUUGAUUUGGUUGCUUAUGAUUUUCCCCUUGACUAAACCCUAAUUAUUAUCGCACCGUAGAUUUUUGUUUAUUUUGUUGCUUACAGAUAUUACAACCAUUGCUUUGGUUAGUGGAUUGUUGUUUAAUUUUGGCGUUUAUUUAUUUAUUGUUAUUAUUGUUUCCUUCUAAUUGUAUUUACGGAAUGUACGGAUUUUGUAUGUUUUAUUUCAAUUGAUUUUUAUUUUUCUUCUUCGUUAUUUGAUAUGUAUUUUUUUUUAAUGAUUAUUGAUAUUUUGACUUCUACUACUUAUGUAAAAAAUGAAAUUGAUUUUUGAUUUUCUGUGUUAUGUAUUUUAGAUAAAAAUAAAUAAAUAAAAAUUUUUUUUUUUUUGAUUUUGAAAUGGUUACCUUAUACUGUAAAAAAUUAGUUUCUUUUAUUUAUUUAAUUCACAACUUCAAUUAUCUAUUUCUGUUUGUGAAUAUGGGUCUGCGACCAAAGUAAUACAUUGUGUGGGACAUAUUAUGUGAAAUUAACUACUUCCAAUUCUCAUGGUAGGAAGUAAAAAAAAGCCAUUUGUUUGCUCAUUGUUGGGCCCACAAUAAUAUUUCAUAUUUGCUUCUAAAUAAUGUGCAGUGUGUUGUUCAGUCCAACACUUCUGGUUGCUGAUAAUCAAUCUUCAAAUCUAAUCUGCUCCCCACUUCAGCACUUACAGUUCUCCGUUAUGGCUGCUGUCGAUAACACUGUGCAGAGGAGCAUAAAGUUCAAAAUCACAUCAAAAGGAAUACGGCGUGAAUUAGAAGACAAGUCAAGUGGUGACAUGAUGAUGAUAGUGAAUAAUAAACGUAGAGAUGGAGUUAAUGGAAAUGGAAAAUCCAUUCCAGUCAAAUAUACGAAGUCAGGCAACUCUAACAAGCGUAAACCCGGAGUGAUCCUUGAGUGUCAUAGGGAGAAAAAGCAGAGGACAGAACAAAAUUUCAAGGAGCAGUAUAGUAAAAUUUUGAGAUCGUUGAUGAGGCACCCUCACGGGUUUGCUUUCAAUCAACCAAUUGAUCCUAUGAAGCUGAAGAUUCCAGAUUAUUUUUCAAUAAUCACUGAGCCAAUGGAUUUGGGAAAGAUCAAGUGUAAACUGGAGGAAAAUAGAUACUUUGAUGCAGAGGAAUUUGCUAGGGACGUGAGGCUGACUUUUUCCAAUGCAAUGGUGUACAAUCCUCCUGGGAACUAUGUCUAUAACUUCGCGAAAGAAUUAAAUGAUCUCUUCAGUAAGAGAUGGAAUUUAUUGAAGACUAAAUUGAAUGUGAUCGUCAAAGGAACAUCACUAGAGCUGGAAAGAGCAAUAAAGGUUUCUUUGGAAGUAACAGAAGGAAAGGUGAGUAAAUGUAAUGGUGUAUAC